AAAUUUACUAUGGUUCAAUAUUCACAUUAAACUGGAUACUUAUGGUAUUAUUAGAGGAGACCAGGCAAGAAAAUUUUAAAUUUACUAAAGUAAGAUUAAACCACCUUAUUACACUAUGACUAAAAAAGUGCCAGCAGUCGCGGUCAGACUUUUAUAGUGGUGAAAUUUUAAAGUGUAAUAAGCUUAUAACAUCUAUAUUGGUGAAAUGAUAUUUAUAAACUUGUAUAAACUAUAUAAAGAACCUAAUAUUGACUAUAAACAAGGAUUAGAUACCCUUCUAUACAAUACUUACAUAUUUCUACACUGAGCACUAAGACCUUCUAAGGUUAAAACUCAAAUAGCAUGGCGGUAAUUUUAAAAUUUAGGGGAACUUACCAAGUAAUUGAUAGCCACCAAGGAAAUCUACUUUAAUGUAAUAUUUUGUAUGCCGUCGUCAACACAUAAUAUAUAAUAUAUUAUCUUAUUAGUAUCAGUAACUAAUAGUACAUAUCAGUGCACAUUAUCGUAAAGUUUAGGCGAGUUACAAUUUUGUUAAGCGAAAAUUGACUUGAAAAAUCAAUUGAAGGAGGACUUAAAUGUAAUUUAAAAUUACUCAUAAAAAAUGAAUAAAUUAUAAAAUUGUGUACAAAUCGCCCGUCACUCUUGGGCUCACCUAAGAUAAGUCGUAACAUAGUAGGCGUAGCGGAAGCUGCUCCUA
rnacentral:rRNA from 1 species